rnacentral:lncRNA from 1 species
UCAAUUUCACCAUGGCCAAAUCCUCCCUCCUAACCAUAGCAUCCCUUAUCUUGAGUUUUGCUAUUUGGUCCAACUUAGGUGCAGCUGUGCCUAUGCAGAUGGCAGAAACUGGGAAUGCAUCUCGAGAAAAAAUCAGACUCUCCCACCUAAGUCAUCCAAACCCGAACGAGUCCACUAGUAAUGUUACUGCCAUAAGUAAAACUUUCAACCCUCUAGCAGACAUCAACAAAUUUAGGCUUUGUCCAUGUCUUUAUAUAUACUGCUUGUGUAUGUGUCCCUGCCAAGCUUGUAAUUGCUGAUAUGUUGAAUGUAAUCCACCAUCCAAUUUAUCUUCUAAUGGUGUGGCUG